ensembl:lncRNA
UUGCCAACAGAAACUGUGCAUAUGCUUACUAAGCGACAUUGUCUCCCAUUAACCGAAUUAUACUUAAUUAACCUGAAACAUGCUGGUGUGAUGAUGUCAUUCCAGCCGACUCAUCUUGGAGGCUUCCCUCAGGUCCAAGCUGAAGCGUCUGUUCUGCUGGCCCAAUUGACUUUGAGUAGAAAUGGGACUGGCUCCUUUCAGGCUUUGUGGCCAGCACUGGAGCCCAUCCACCGAUCAGAAAAGUGAGAACCACAAGACAAAUGGAGAAGCAUAGGGGAACGCACAUGAGCCCGAUACAAGAGAUUGCUCCCUUUUAUCCCCCUGGCCGAGGCAGCGCGGCGCUGGAAGGAGUCAUCUCGGCUGUGUCCUUGUCAUCUCUACAUGAAUGGUGCCUUGGUCUGGAAGCACGAUGCCAGCUUGGCCCGGCGACAGGAAAGUGGAGUGGCGAGGAGAGGAGCGUUUGUCCUCGGCCGGUGGAGCUCAGAUGGGAGGCAGUGCUGCCUCUGGUUGGGACUGGGGAUGCUGAACGGGGGGAGGGAGGGCCUGUUUGAGCUGGGACAGCAGCUCCAGCAGCAGGGGGAGUACCAGGCCGCCCUCCACUGCUUCCUCAGCUGCCUGUUGGGACUGACCCAUGUGCAGAGCUUCACCUCUCUGCCCAACUGUCUACACCAGAUUGCAGAACUCUUCAUCACUGAAAAGAAUUAUGGGAAGGCCCUUCAGUUCAUCCAGGCUGAAAAAAUGUUCUACGAGGUGGCACUGAUAGAGCUCACCGCUCUCCAGGGGAGCACAGGGCCUCAGGAGGAGGCUAUGUUGGGCUCUGCAGGAUGGGCCACCCCAGAGGAGCUUUCAGAGCAGGCCUCCCAGGCACAGCACCUCGAACGGCUGGCCCAGCUCUGCAUCAUGAGCAAACGGCCUCAUCUUGCUUUAGAAUACAGUGGUAAGGCCACUAAGAUCCACCAGAGGGCCUUUGGUAAUGACCACCCAAUAACAGCCCGGAGCCUGGAGCUUUUGGCCACUGUCUAUGCUGAGAUUGGCAAGACUGAAUAUUCAGACUCCCUGGGUCAGUGUGUGUCCGCGCUGUCCAAACGGUUUGCUGCUGCCGAGUCCGUCAAAGACACCGUCAACUGUCUUCCUCAUUCCCACCGGGAGAAACACUCAGAGGUCCGCCACCGGAAGGACACCCACCACCAACAGGAGGAUACACUGAGACCCAAGGUAAUGUUUUACUAUGAUCCACCUGCAGGCAUGUUUAGAAAGCUUGCAUGUGAGCUGUUGUUUGACUACAUGUCCUUUUGAAUGCUUGUGGUUAGUCUGUGUUCGAAAUGCCUUUGGAGUUUGUGUAUACUCAUCUCCAACUGAAUCUGAUCCCCUAUCAAGGUAACCAAUGGUAAAGUCCCCACCUCCAUACUAAAGAGGCCCGGCCCCAGCUGUGGGUCAGACACAGAACCCGCUCACAGACGGAAGGGCGAGCGCAGGGUUCGAUUCAGGGAGCCAGAGACCACUGUACAUGGUGAGAAAACAAGAGAAAAAAAGCUUGUACAUAACCGCAUGUUUGACAUUUUGACACCCUGCUCAGCCAGGUUCACAUGAGAGUCAAAUUUUGC